rnacentral:lncRNA from 10 species
AGCCAAUGUCAUCCUCUCCACCCAGCCUCCUUGGGGAAGAAGAGGCUGAAAAAGCAUCAGAGAAAAGAGAUUUUCACUACAAGAAAAGAGGAGACCACAUAGGACAUACUGUCCUUUGAGCGACGUCCCAGACAAGCAAGCUGCUAAGAGGCUGAGCUGCCAGCAGUGACCCCAGCCUGGCUGGCAAACAGCUGGCACCAGAAUCAUGCCCUGGAGCCCAAGGGUGGCUGAUGGCAACCUGCCAUAGAAACUAUUUAUAGCACGUCUUGUCCCAGGUGCUCCUGGAGCUGGCCCAGAUUAACCCCGCAGAGCCCAGAGAGGAGAGCAGAGAUCAGAGGAAGAGCGCCUCUGCAGAUGGAGAAACCGAGGCAGGAAAACCUCCACGACAUCUCCAGAGUUGAAGGGUGCAGGACGCUGAGAAGUGGGUGGGGACUUUUCCAGCAGAGACCACUCAAGAGCAGAGGGGUUGUGAUGGGCGGCCAGGGGGCACCCUCACAGAGCCAGCAGGCAGAUUCAGCAGACAGCAGGGGUGUCUCCCCAAACCUGCUUGUGCUACACACCAGGUGGGUCCUCUUGAAUUUCUUUGCCC